CCCUUAGAUGUCCUGGGCCGCACGCGCGCUACACUGAUGCAUGCAACGAGUUUAUAACCUUGGCCUGAAAGGUCUGGGUAAUCUUUUGAACGUGCAUCGUGAUAGGGAUAGAUUAUUGCAAUUGUUAAUCUUGAACGAGGAAUUCCUAGUAAACGCGAGUCAUCAGCUCGCAUUGAUUACGUCCAUGCCCUUUGUACACACCGCCCGUCGCACCUACCGAUUGAAUGGUUCGGUGAAGAUCUCGGACUUCGAUAUUUAUUCUUUAUUGAGUUUAUAUUGUGGGAAGUUAUCUAAACCUCAUCAUUUAGAGGAAGGUGAAGUCGUAACA
rnacentral:rRNA from 1 species